CGGGACGGGUGAGUAACGCGUGGGUAACCUACCCUGUACACACAGAUAACAUACCGAAAGGUAUGCUAAUACGGGAUAAUAUAUUUGAGAGGCAUCUCUUGAAUAUCAAAGGUGAGCCAGUACAGGAUGGACCCGCGUCUGAUUAGCUAGUUGGUAAGGUAACGGCUUACCAAGGCGACGAUCAGUAGCCGACCUGAGAGGGCGAUCGGCCACAUUGGAACUGAGACACGGUCCAA
rnacentral:rRNA from 1 species